AUAUAUCAACCUUCUCUUGUUGAGUGGUUUGGAUGUGGGGGUUUGCUGGCCUCUUAAAAGGUUUUAGCUCCCCUGAAAUGCAUUAGCGGAACAACCCUGUUCAUUGGUGUGAUAAACUAUCUACGCUAUUGAAUGCGAAGGGCAGUUUGGCUUUCUAACAGUCCUUGGACAACUCAUCAUUA
rnacentral:misc_RNA from 1 species